CGGAGGCCGAGGCGGUGCCCAAGAUGGUUCCGGAGGCCGAGGCGGUGUCCGAGGCAGUGACCGAUGCUGUUCCGCAGGUCGAGGCGGUGGCCGAUGUUGUUCCAGAGACCGAGGCGGUGGCCGAUGCUGUUCCGGAGGCCGAGGCGGGGCCCGAUGCUGUUCCGGAGGCCGAGGCGGUGUCCGAGGCGGUGCCCGAGAUGGUUCCGGAGGCCGAGGCGGUGCCCAAUGCUGUUCCGGAGGUCGAGGCGGUGCCCGAUGCGCAGGCCGAGGCGAUGCCCGUGUCCAGGGCCGUUCCCGAGGCGGUGUCCUUGUCCCAUGCCGUUCCUGAGGCCGCUCCCAGGGCGGUGCCCGAGCCCGAGGUCGUGCCCGAGGUCGUUCCCGAGGCGAUACCCGUGUCCAAGGCCGUUCCCGAGGCAGUGCCCUUAUCCAAGGCCGUUCCCGAGGCGGUGUCCAAUGCCGUGACCUGGCCAUCGCCACAGUCUGUUCCUCACUGGCUCCCCGAAUGGCAGGUUCCGUUCGGGCCACUCAAAUGGCGAAUUCCUCCCUGGCCGUCUGCACAACGAGAAUGGACUGAUCCACCGUGGCCACCUGAACUGCCUGGCCCCUCGUGGUCCCCUGAACUUUCGGGUCCACCGUGGCCACCUGAACUGCCUGGUCCCUCGUGGUCCCCUGAACUUUCGGGUCCACCAUGGCCCCCUGAUCUGACCGAGCCACCUGGGCUGCCAGGGGAGCCAUCGCUGCCGGUCCCAGUUCCCCUACACGGGCCUGGCCCGCCAUCCCUCCCCCUGUUCUGCCUCCACCAGUCCACCUCCCUCCUGGUCUCUUUGUUUUGUGUUUGUUUUGUUCUGAGGAGCAUCUGGAAGCUGCUCCUUAGAGGGGGGGUAGUGUCACGGUGUCUGGUUUGUGUAUCCCUGGGUGUCCACUAGAGGUCUCACUUCCCCUUAUCGUCACCGCACUUUAGAACUGCAUUUCCCAUAGUCUUGUCUGUUUCAUCACUGCUCAUUGCACUCAGCUGUCCCUGGUCAUUAAUCAUUGC
ensembl:lncRNA